AUACGUGGAAUUUAAUAAACAAAACAAAUAAGCAAAGGGAAAAAAUAGAGAAAAAAAAAAGAAACAGACUCUUAACUCUAGAGGAACAAACUGAUGGUUCCUAGAGUGAGGUUGGAGGGGCAAUGGAUAAAAUAGGUGACAGGGAUUAAGGAGUGCACUUGAGAUGAGCAUUGGGUGAUGUAUGGAAAUGUUGAAUCACUAUGCUGUAUAUCUGACACUAAGAUAACACUCUGUGUCAAUUAUAUUACCUCAUUAACAUAUAGCUGUCAUAAUAAUGAUGUGUAAGAACAGUAAAUUAACUAUGCUUUGUUACAUUUACUUUUUUUAAGAUUUUUAUUUAUUUAUUUAUUUAUUUAUUUAUUUAUUUAUUUAUUUAUUUGAGAGAGAGUCAGAGAGCAUGAGCGGGGGAAGAGCAGAGGAAGAGGGACAAGCAGAUUCCAAGCUGAGCAUGGAGCCUGAUAGGGGGCUGAUCCCAUGACCCUGAGAUCAUGACCUGAGCUGAAAUCAAGGGUCAGAAGCUCAACCUGCUGCCACUCAGGUGCCCCUUGUUACUUUUACUUUCAUAUUUAGUUUAUCAAUAAUCAUUUAAUUGACUUAUGAAACUAUCAGGAAAAAGAAGCAUAAUCGCUCAUAUAAAACAAUUCCAUCUUCUUAUCUGCCUCUCUGUAGUAGGCUGUCUGUGGGAUAAGAAGGUUCAUUCGUUGACUCCACAAACACCCAGGAGACACUCCAUGCUGCAGCAAGUGAGGUCAGCCUAGUGGCCUUCUCUAACGCUGGUAUCUAAUGUAAGAGGCAGACCACACACAGUUCCCUGAACAGACAAUAUGCUCUCAGGCUUUGAAAAAUGGGAAUAAAAUAUGCUAAGAACAGAAGGUAUAAUGGGGAAGGGCUCAGAAAGGCAGGAUUUUUUUUCUUUAACAAAUGUUUCAUCUCACUUUCUUUAAUCCAUCUGAAAUAGACUAUCUCCCUUCUCUCUCUGACACCAGGAUUUUUUCUGCUCUAUCCUGAGGAAUGCCUGUCUGUCUCAAUGCCCCCACCCCUCUCCACACAAACAGUUUCCUCCUGUUCCCUUCAUUUCCCUCCCCAGCUGUCCUCUGGGAAUAUGGCAGCCCAUGUCACCCAUCAAAGACUAGCUAUUUUCUCCUCCAGAAGCUACAUGGCACAGGAUUCCAAUGGGAUCUUCCAGAAAGAAUGCAGGACCACACAUCAUCACCUGUAGAUGUAACUCACAGGCCAAAGGAGUGAGAAAAGUGUGCUUCCAGUCCCAAAACUCUGCCAUUGUCAUUGUCUGAAACUGACUUCAUCGGCCACACUCUUCUGACUUCAAAAAGAGCUGUGAAGUGUGUGAUCGUAUGUGGACAGUACUGAACCCAUACAGAUCUAGACAUUCUACUAACAAAGGAUAGAAGAGAUGCUUUAGAGUCACCAUGACGACCAUGGACUGUAGCACCAUGAGGAGGAAUAACCAUGGGAGACAUUUAUGUCAGGAGAGUUGGUAAGAGAUGGUGAUUUUUAUAUGGAGGAGCGCAGGGAUAAAGAAAAGUUGGGAUAACUUUUUUUUUUUUUUUUUUCUGAUUUCUGGCUCGGGCUGUUGUAAAUGGUGGUACCAAUGGUGAUACAUGCUUCAGGAGACUUUGGCAGUUCAUUGUUAGGCACGGUGAAUUUGAUGUCACUGUGAGAGACUACUCACAGGACUCCCUUAAACUGGCAUGGCAGCAACAACGAAUAGAUACAAGUUGGCCAUGCAACAGUUCCUUGGUGUAUGAUUCAGUGUCCCGAAAAGUCAAAAGGACAAACAACAACAAAAAAAGUUAAUUAUAAUGUCAAUUAGCUAGUAUAGAAUGAAAUUCUGAGCAGCUCAGUGGAUUGGUUUCAUAAUAAGGAGCACUGCUUAGCUCUCCACACAUGCCUGUGUUUGUGUAUAUGGGUGGGAAACAAACCACACGCUGUCAUUCAGCAAACUGCAAUUCCACUUCCCCCAGCGAACCUCAUGGACCAAUUUCACCAGGCAGAGUACACAAUCUGCUUCUUUCUCACAACAUCGAAUUCUAUUUCUUUACUCGGUUAUAUGCUCUCAUAUCCUGAAUACUACUCUCUCUUUCUAGAAUAUAGUAGUUUAAAUGCUUAUUUAAAAUAUAAAGUAUGUUGGCUAACUGAACAUAAUGAAAAAUUAAUAAAAAAUAAAACAAAAUAAUUAUAGAAAUACUAAUACUGCAAUUUUAGAAACAAUAAUAAAAACAACAGUAAUAAUCCUUGUCCCUAUGUAACGACUAAGUGCUAAGCUCUGUUCUGCGUGUGCAUGUAUGUACCUGCGUAUGUGCAUGCAUCUCUGUUAUAUACUGUGUUGUCUCUUAGUCUAGAAAAAAAACUUUGAUAAAAAUUCAUUUGAUAAAAAAUUGAUUUGAUAAAAAUUCAUUUCAGAUAAAAUUUCAUGUCUGAUUGAUGUGUUGUAUAAUAAGACAAUAUAAAAUAUUUCAAAGAUACUGUA